rnacentral:miRNA from 1 species
UACUUUUUUUAUCAUCCACAG